AGCAGGGCACCCCGAGCCUGCCGCCAUCCCGGCCCCGGCCCCGGCUCCGACGCAGGCAGGGCCGGCGCAGAGUGGCGCGGGUGUAGGGCGCCUGCGGCCCCGGCAGUGCAGCGUCGUCUCUGUCCCCGCCCAGGAGCGUGGCAUCGCGGUGCCACUUCAUCGUCCGGUGACCCUCGGCUCCUGGCACCGUCGGCAGGAGGAGGGCGAGCCCGGCUGUGCCACCGCUUGGCGUGGAGCUGCUCCCAUCGGGUGGCUGGGAGCCCGGCAGCGUGCAGUGAGUCUGGGAGCAGCAGUGUCUCUUCCAGCCUGGUCCUCCUGGAACAGCUUUGUCAGCCUAUGGCGAGCCUGGCACUGCACUGAUGCAGUGGAAGCACUGCAGCAUGCCCAGGAGCUUGGCACAGCUGCUGGACAGCUGCUGCAGCAUGCAGUGAACUGAUGUAGCAACCGUAGCAGCAUGCAGUGAGCUUGGCAGUGUCGCUCUUCAGCAACCAUCCCAGCGUGCAGUGAGCCUGGCCGUGUACCCAUUCAGCAACUACGUUAGCAUGCAGUGAGCUUGGCAGUGUCAACGUAUAGCCACAGCAGCGUGCAGUGUGCCAGCAGCGUACCAGUUAACCAACCAUCCUAGUGUGCAAUGUGCUGGCAGCAUACCUGUUAACCUACCAUCCCAACAUGCAGCGUGCUGGCUGUGUACUAGUGAACCAACCAUCCCAACGUGUAGUGUGCUGGCAGUGUACCUGUUAACCGACCAUCCCAACGUGCAGUGAGCCAGCAAUGUCCCAGUGAACCAACCACCCAGCUUGCAGUGAGCCAGCAGUGUCCCAGUUAACCAACCACCCCAGCUUGCAGUGAGUUGUGUAUGGCAGUGAUCCUGGCAGUGUACCAGUGCAGCAACCCACCGCAACAUGCAGUGAGCCCAGCAGCAUCUCCACUAGCCUGGCUCUUUUGGAGUAUAACCUUUGCUGUGCAGUGACCGUCAGACCCACAUCCCCAGCUUGGGAGCACGGCAGCACCAGCGUGGCCAGCCAGGGAGCCGGCAGCCGCAGGAGCCGAUGACGAGCCCAAAGCACGGGCACCGGCAGUAGGACGUGACAGCAUGAGACUGCGGAUGUGGGCUCCGCUGUGACCCCUUGCUCCAUGGAUGGGGCUGUUGGCUCUGCCCUCGAUGGCUGUGCCGGGAGCCGCUGCACCGGGCCCAGGUGGCUGUGGGCUGCCACGCUCUGACCGGCAGUGAAGGCUGGAAGUGGAUGGGCAGUGACUAGAGGCCAGUUUUGGACGCGACGCCCCUCCUUUCACCCUCUCCUGACACCACACACCUUCAAGGUCUCUGGGGGAGACUGAAAACAGACUCCCUCUCCCCAAAUCCAUCCCCCCCCCCCCC